GAUGAACGCUGGCGGCGUGCCUAAUACAUGCAAGUCGAGCGAACGGACGAGAAUCUUGCUUCUCUGAUGUUAGCGGCGGACGGGUGAGUAACACGUGGAUAACCUACCUAUAAGACUGGGAUAACUUCGGGAAACCGGAGCUAAUACCGGAUAAUAUUUUGAACCGCAUGGUUCAAAAGUGAAAGACGGUCUUGCUGUCACUUAUAGAUGGAUCCGCGCUGCAUUAGCUAGUUGGUAAGGUAACGGCUUACCAAGGCAACGAUGCAUAGCCGACCUGAGAGGGUGAUCGGCCACACUGGAACUGAGACACGGUCCAGACUCCUACGGGAGGCAGCAGUAGGGAAUCGUCCGCAAUGGGCGAAAGCCUGACGGAGCAACGCCGCGUGAGUGAUGAAGGUCUCCGGAUCGUAAAACUCUGUUAUUAGGGAAGAACAUAUGUGUAAGUAACUGUGCACAUCUUGACGGUACCUAAUCAGAAAGCCACGGCUAACUACGUG
rnacentral:rRNA from 1 species